rnacentral:rRNA from 1 species
GACGAACGCUGGCGGCGUGCCUAAUACAUGCAAGUUGAGCGCUGAAGGUUGGUACUUGUACCGACUGGAUGAGCAGCGAACGGGUGAGUAACGCGUGGGGAAUCUGCCUUUGAGCGGGGGACAACAUUUGGAAACGAAUGCUAAUACCGCAUAAAAACUUUAAACACAAGUUUUAAGUUUGAAAGAUGCAAUUGCAUCACUCAAAGAUGAUCCCGCGUUGUAUUAGCUAGUUGGUGAGGUAAAGGCUCACCAAGGCGAUGAUACAUAGCCGACCUGAGAGGGUGAUCGGCCACAUUGGGACUGGGACACGGCCCAAACUCCUACGGGAGGCAGCAGUAGGGAAUCUUCGGCAAUGGACGAAAGUCUGACCGAGCAACGCCGCGUGAGUGAAGAAGGUUUUCGGAUCGUAAAACUCUGUUGGUAGUGAAGAACGUUGGUGAGAGUGGAAAGCUCAUCAAGUGACGGUAACUACCCAGAAAGGGACGGCUAACUACGUG